rfam:Soonwooa buanensis strain DSM 22323 genome assembly, contig: LY62DRAFT_scaffold00002.2
GUUUUGCAAUAGGGAUGGAAGCGGCAUCCUUUGUGGUGGCGCGAGGCGACGGAGCGUAGCGGAGUCGUCCGAGUGCCACUACAAAGAUAUAGCGGACAGCCCGACCGCAA